rnacentral:rRNA from 1 species
GAUGAACGCUAGCUACAGGCUUAACACAUGCAAGUCGCGGGGCAGCAUGGGGGUUGCUUGCAAUCCCCGAUGGCGACCGGCGCACGGGUGAGUAACGCGUAUCCAACCUGCCCUUCACCACGGGAUAACCCGGCGAAAGUCGGACUAAUACCGUAUGUUGUCCAUUGACGGCAUCCGAUUUGGACGAAAGGUUUGGCGGUGAAGGAUGGGGAUGCGUCCGAUUAGCUGGACGGCGGGGUGACGGCCCACCGUGGCGACGAUCGGUAGGGGUUCUGAGAGGAAGGUCCCCCACACUGGAACUGAGACACGGUCCAGACUCCUACGGGAGGCAGCAGUGAGGAAUAUUGGUCAAUGGGCGUAAGCCUGAACCAGCCAAGUAGCGUGCAGGAUGACGGCCCUAUGGGUUGUAAACUGCUUUUAUGCGGGGAUAAAGUGGCCCACGUGUGGGUUUUUGCAGGUACCGCAUGAAUAAGGACCGGCUAACUCCGUG